CGCAUCUGUGCAUGCAGCAUAUCAAUAAGCGGAGGAAAAGAAACUAACAAGGAUUCCCUUAGUAACGGCGAGUGAAGCGGGAAGAGCUCAAAUUUGAAAUCUUCAAGGUUUUACCUUGACGAAUUGUAGUUUAAAGAAGUGUUUUCUGUUGAAGUUUUGGUAAAAGUUCUUUGGAAUAGGACAUCAUAGAGGGUGAGAAUCCCGUAUUUGACCAUUAUUUUCAGCUGUGUGAUACACUUUCAAAGAGUCGGAUUGUUUGGGAAUGCAGUCCAAAAUGGGUGGUAAAUUUCAUCUAAAGCUAAAUAUUGGCGAGAGACCGAUAGCGAACAAGUACCGUGAGGGAAAGAUGAAAAGAACUUUGAAAAGAGAGUUAAACAGUACGUGAAAUUGUCAAAAGGGAAGCGUUUGACACCAGUGUUGUUUUCUCGAAAAUCAAUUAAAAAGAGUUAGAUUUUGUUGUGUAUUGACCUUAACAGCUCGCAUUUCAAUUUUCUUGCUUUUUUUAAUGCACUUUUCGUUUAACAAGUCAACAUCAGUUUCUUUUGUUGUAAAAAGGUCAUUGGAAGGUGGCUUUCUUUUCGGAGAAAGUGUUUAUAGCCUUUGACUCCUGCAAUCGGAGAGACUGAGGUCUGCAGCGUAGAUCCUUCGGGGUUAGAUACAUUUGUGCUAAGUUAUAGCUUUUUAUAGACAACUUGUUGACUAUGAUUAGUCUUGUAGCUUACUCGCUUAUGCUAUUUUACCUACGCUUAGGAUGUUGAUGUGAUACUGCGAGCA
rnacentral:rRNA from 1 species